CUACUUUUCCUGCUGUACAGGAGAUUAAGCAGGGUUAUUGUGAGGCUGCACUUCAGACUGUUUGCGUUGGAGCGGGACACAAGGCAGAGCAGUAUGAGGAUGGAAUGGGAUCAUCUCUGAAUACUUUUGAAAUAAGUGGAAAACAUGGACCUGUUGGAUGUGGGAUUAUGUUGAAACAGUACAGCAGGAGUCCAAAUGGGAGAGGAAAUCUGUGCACAACCAGUGCCACCACGAGAUAAAUAAGCAGCAGGAACCAGGAGG
ensembl:lncRNA